rnacentral:lncRNA from 1 species
UAAGUUAACUGCCACCACGGUGUUAGAUGCAUCUGCCUCCUGCUAUGUCAUUGUGAAGAUCCGUGCUGGAGCUGAUGGACCUUCACCUCUGAAACCCGCUGAAGAAGAGGCUGACCCUCUCCCUCUACCUCUGCCACUGGCCUGAGUCGUGGCUGGAGCUGCUGGCUGCGCUACACUACCUGAAGCUGCUGCUGGGACUGAGCCAUCGGAACUGCUCUUGGACACUCUCGAGCCAUAUGUCCCUCCUUACCGCAUCUGAAACAGGC